rnacentral:rRNA from 1 species
AUGAUGGUGGAGAGGUGGGCAGGGUUCGGGUCGGCGAUGGCGACCGUCAUCUUCCUCUGGUCCGUUGUGCAGAACUACGUCCCUCCCACCUUCCGCCUCUACCUCACCGCCUGGGCCGCCAAGGUCGCCGCCUGCUUCAACCCCUACCUGCAGAUCACCAUCUCCGAGUACGGCGCCGAGCGCUUCCAGCGCAGCGACUUCUUCCUCGCCGUCGAGGCCUACCUCAGCGACGCCUGCGCCCGCCGCGCACGCAAGCUCAAGGCCGAGCUCGUCAAGGACAGCAAGAACCUCCGGGUCACCGUCGACGACCACGAGGAGGUCACCGACGACUUCUCCGGCACAACCAUCUGGUGGUACGCCUCCAAGCGGCAGUCCAAGGCCCAAGUCAUCACCUUCUACCCCGGCGAGGACGAGCGGCGCUUCUACAAGGUUGUCUUCCAUAGGCGCCACCGCGACCUCGUCGUGGACUCCUACCUGCCCUUCGUGCUCGGCGAGGGCCGCGCCGUCACCGUCAAGAACCGCCAGCGCCGUCUCUUCACCAACAACGCCAGCCGCAACUGGAACCCCUACCGCAGCAAGAGCGUCUGGAGCCACGUCCCCUUCGAACACCCCGCCACCUUCGACACGCUUGCCAUGCACCCCGAUGAGAAGGAGGCCAUCGUUGACGACCUCAUGGCGUUCCAGGAGAGCAAGGACUACUAUGCCAAGGUCGGCAAGGCGUGGAAGCGCGGGUACCUCCUUUAUGGACCGCCCGGCACCGGCAAGUCCACCAUGAUCGCCGCCAUGGCCAACUUCCUUGACUACGACGUCUACGAUCUCGAGCUCACAGCUGUCAAGAACAACACCGAGCUGCGGAAGCUCUUCAUCGAGACCACGGGCAAGUCCAUCAUCGUCAUAGAGGACAUCGACUGCUCCAUCGACCUCACCGGAAAACGCCGCAAGGACAAGAAGGCCUCUAGUGACAAGGACUCCGACGAUGAUGACAAACCCAAGCUACCGAUGGAUCCAGAGAAGGACGACGCCACCAAGGUGACGCUCUCGGGCCUCCUCAACUUCAUUGAUGGACUUUGGUCUGCUUGCGGGGGUGAGCGGAUCAUCAUCUUCACUACCAACCACAAGGACAAGCUCGAUCCGGCGCUGAUCCGUCGAGGAAGGAUGGACAAGCACAUCGAGAUGUCAUACUGCCGCUUCGAGGGCUUCAAGGUGCUCGCCAAGAACUACUUAGAUGUCAUCGAGCAUGAGCUGUUUGGGGAAAUUCAGCGGCUGCUCGAGGAGACCGACAUGUCGCCCGCCGACGUUGCAGAGAACCUGAUGCCAAUGUCGAAGAAGAAAAAAAGGGACCCUGAUUUGUGUUUGUCGGGCCUCGUCAAGGCACUCAAGCAGGCCAAGGAAGACGCGGCAGCAGCAGCAGCGGCCAAGGCGAAGGAGGAAGAAGAGGCCAAGGAGGCUGAAGCAAAGAAAGACAAGGAGAAAGAGGAGGCGGGGUUGAAGAAAGCCAAUGAGGAAAACAAAGGGAAGGACAAAGCACCGGAGGAAGCCAAUGGAGACAUCAAGGAAGGUGACAAGUGA